GGGGAGGUAGGUGAAGUGAAGGUUCGGCAGGAAGAGGUGAAAACAAUGGGAUAUGCCUGGCUCCCUGUAUGCCACUCGCGUAGCUGCCAACUCUCCAAACCCAGCGUUGGCUCUACCGCGGAUGGCGUGCGAGGAGCCAAGCAUGACCGUCUCUCUCCCUCUUUCUUUCUCUCUCUCUUUCUCUCUUGGUUUGUUGCUUUAGAUUCUUACAAACUAACUGCAUCAUGCAUGUGAUGGUAUGUACAAGCAGCUAGCAGCUACCGAUAAUGGUAGAGGGUAACCCGAUCCCAUAUGUACAGUGCUUGUGUACGUUUUGGCAUAAUAUGGUCGCGUCCUUAUAUGAAUGGUAAGUAUAUGUGGAGUAGAUUUGAUUCCCAGCGUGUAAAUAACGAUCUGUGUGGUAAACAAAUCUAGGCCUCCUUAACUGUAAAAGUAGUACAUAUAUCAACCCCUUAUGGCCUUAUCAAUUUCAGCCACUGUUCAUAUCAAUUACUCUGUACAUAUUGACCCUGUUCUUUGUUUAAUGAAUCGAUUGUCACUUUAUUUUAUUUUUCUUGUAGUUUGUGCGGUACUGCAGGCCGGCAGAUAUAUAUCAUUCAAGCACUUGCAUGGCUUCAUCUCAUGAACUAUCGAGAGGGGAUCACGGUGCAGGUCGAUCCCUGACCCGGCCGGCGGCUACAACAAUGUCAAUGCAUCUGCGCAUCUAUAUAUCUGCAGAAAAGCUAGAUGUAUAUAUACCUCGCUCGUCAGACCGUAUGUGCACACAUUGGUCUUACUUAGUUGUGUAAUUUGCUCCUGAUCCAGAAUGUCAAACUCAUGUACACCCUGAGAUUUCACCUUUCCUGUAAGAACACGUACUAUAUCCUUGGUGUGUUCUUCCAUUCUCGAAUAGUCAAUCAGUUAAGCCGAAAUACUGCAGCGUUUCUCAUUUGGAAUCAAAAAAAAAAAA
rnacentral:lncRNA from 1 species